rnacentral:rRNA from 1 species
UACGUAGGGGGCAAGCGUUGUCCGGAUUUAUUGGGCGUAAAGAGCGUGUAGGCGGCCAAACAGGUCAGCAGUGAAAACUCGAGGCUCAACCUCGAGACGUCGGUUGAAACCGUUUGGCUAGAGUCCGGAAGAGGAGAGUGGAAUUCCCGGUGUAGCGGUGAAAUGCGCAGAUAUCGGGAAGAACACCCGUGGCGAAGGCGGCUCUCUGGGACGGUACUGACGCUGAGACGCGAAAGCGUGGGGAGCGAACAGG